UCCCCGUACUUUUUGACAAGCGUCUUUGGCGGGGCGGCCAGAGCUUUUUUGCAGCUCAAGUCGGUGGCGGUGUGUACGUACGGUAAAGCUAUUAUGGCAACACAGAUUCAAACCAAUUGCACAUACUACAUAGUACGAGUGCAGGUCCAGCAGGGCGCUGACCAAUCAGCCAAACGUCUCUGGAGGACUGUCGGGGGUCAGAGGACAGCGACUACGAGGCUGAACAGGACUUGAGUGACGGCGAAAACGACGACGACGAGGAGUGGAAUUACCUGGAGCUCUUCCAGCUGCACAACAACCUGAAGUGCUUCGAACAAAUCUACUACAACAAUGCAAUGGUUGACCAGCAGCACACUGAGAGCGAAGAGGAGUUCGGUAGAAGACCCAUUUCAA